rnacentral:piRNA from 1 species
UAACUGAGGUUAGGGGCCUGGCUUAAUGU